AGCGAACGCUGGCGGCAGGCCUAAUACAUGCAAGUCGAGCGCACCUUCGGGUGAGCGGCGGACGGGUGAGUAACGCGUGGGAACGUGCCCUUUGGUACGGGAUAACUGAGGGAAACUUCAGCUAAUACCGUAUGUGCCCUACGGGGGAAAGAUUUAUCGCCAUUGGAGCGGCCCGCGUUGGAUUAGGUAGUUGGUGAGGUAAAGGCUCACCAAGCCUACGAUCCAUAGCUGGCCUGAGAGGAUGAUCAGCCACACUGGGACUGAGACACGGCCCAGACUCCUACGGGAGGCAGCAGUAGGGAAUCUUGCGCAAUGGGCGAAAGCCUGACGCAGCCAUGCCGCGUGUAUGAUGAAGGUCUUAGGAUUGUAAAAUACUUUCACCGGGGAAGAUAAUGACGGUACCCGGAGAAGAAGCCCCGGCUAACUUCGUGCCAGCAGCCGCCGCGG
rnacentral:rRNA from 1 species